rnacentral:piRNA from 1 species
UAAGUGCUGGUGGUAGAAAGGAGACCACU